ensembl:lncRNA
AGGGACACGUUGCCCUGGCCCAGGGAGGGCAGCAGUUUGGGACGGGGGGCCACCGGGGGUUUGGGGACCUUUGGAGGAGGAGCAUCCCUCUGGGCUCUCCUGGCCAGCAGGGGUCCUGUCUGGACGAAGGCCUCAGGCCUGAUGAUGUCCCUGGGUGGGCUGCUGCUCCCUCUGGCAGCCUCCUCUGGCUGGGCAGCUUUCGGCAUGGAGAGAACAAACACAUUGUUGCUGAAGCUGCAUGACUCUGAAAGGGCCGGCUCCUCCAGGGACAGAGGGCAGGUAGGACGGGGCUCAGGCUGGACUACAUCCACAGUGCUGGUGGUGAUGCUCACAGGACUGGUAGGUUGGGACUCGAGUAUAACGGGACACACAGGAUUACUGGGCUUAACUUUUCUCCUACUGGUGUUCCGAGGGUUGCUAGGCCUUCCCUCAGGUCUGGAAGGCUGUACAUCAGGCUGGACCAGGCCCACUGGUCUAACAGGCCGUCUGGUGGGGCAUCGAGGGUUGCUAGGCCUCCCC